AGCGAACGCUGGCGGCAGGCCUAACACAUGCAAGUCGAACGAACUCUUCGGAGUUAGUGGCGGACGGGUGAGUAACACGUGGGAACGUGCCCUUUGGUACGGAAUAACUCAGGGAAACUUGAGCUAAUACCGUAUGUGCCCUUCGGGGGAAAGAUUUAUCGCCAUUGGAGCGGCCCGCGUCUGAUUAGCUAGUUGGUGAGGUAACGGCUCACCAAGGCGACGAUCAGUAGCUGGUCUGAGAGGAUGACCAGCCACAUUGGGACUGAGACACGGCCCAAACUCCUACGGGAGGCAGCAGUGGGGAAUCUUGCGCAAUGGGCGAAAGCCUGACGCAGCCAUGCCGCGUGGAUGAUGAAGGCCUUAGGAUUGUAAAAUCCUUUCACCGGUGAAGAUAAUGACUGUAGCCGGAGAAGAAGCCCCGGCUAACUUCGUGCCAGCCGCCGCCGUAACAC
rnacentral:rRNA from 1 species